GACGAAGGGGGCUAGCGUUGUUCGGAAUUACUGGGCGUAAAGCGCGUGUAGGUGGUUGUCACAGUCAGGUGUGAAAGCCUUGAGCUCAACUCAAGAAAUGCACUUGAUACUAGGCGACUAGAGGACCGGAGAGGAUAGUGGAAUUCCCAGUGUAGUGGUGAAAUACGUAGAGAUUGGGAAGAACACCAGUGGCGAAGGCGGCUAUCUGGACGGUUUCUGACACUAAGACUCGAAAGCGUGGGGAGCAAACAGG
rnacentral:rRNA from 1 species